ensembl:lncRNA LOC102546363 uncharacterized LOC102546363
CUGACAAAGUCUUGAGGGGCUGUAGCAUCGGUAUGGCAAGAGGAAGGGGACGUACAGUGUCUCUUCAGGCUGCACGCUGCGACAGGGAUCCAGAGAUGAACAUCUGCUUUUGGUGAGGGACGGAGCCCUGGUCCAGCAUCAAGUCAGCCAACCCACCUACCAGGGCAUCUGCCUGGGUCCUCACCAACAGACAUGGGUGCAGAACUGAAGCCAGGCAGCCACCGGGCCAGAUCCCCCACCCAGGUCUGAUAUCUGACUCUGGGCAACCCCAAUCUAAAGACAUUAAUAAAACUUUCUAAAAAAUG